GUGCUCGCCUCAUCUGCACAUAUUCUACAGUUGGGAUGAUACAGAGAUGAGGUUGGCCCUGCACAAGAAUGACGUGCAAGUUUGUGAACAUUCCAUAUUUUU
ensembl:snRNA U6 U6 spliceosomal RNA